rnacentral:lncRNA from 1 species
CAAUACUGAAAGAGAACAGACAGAUCCAUACACCAGACUAACAUGGGGACAGGUUUGGAGCAUGUGUGCUAUGGGAAUGCCAAAGUUCCAGGAGGCUAAGUUUCCGUGAAACUCUUUGCCUCUGGACUGCGUCCAGGUUUUUAGGCCUGUCACGUGUGUCACUGCUGGAGUGGGUGUAGCAUGCAAUGAAUGUGCAAACACUUUUAGAAUUAGCCAAGCUCUUACACCUUUUCAGAGAGUCUACAAAGAUCUGAAACCCUAUGAAUGUGGAUACUGUGGGAAAGCCUUUAUUGUAAAUGGUGAGGUUACAGAACACCCGAAAGUCCAUGAUCAUCAGGAGUCCUAUACAUAAGCUACUUGGAAGCCUCAUCUAUGGAGCGAGACCCUUUCAUAAAGCUACAACGUACAGCCUCAACUGUUUCAUUGUAGUAACAGAGAAAAGCCAAUACAGCUGUCUUCUAAAUAUAGGACCUCAUCUUUCUUUUACAGCUCCUGAGUCUCCACUAUUGUCCUGAUCUAUCAGUCUUGGGGUACAUGCUCAACAAAAUAUCCCUGUCUGAGAUCAGCAUCCAUAUGGUUUGUGAAGCAAUUCUGGACCCUGAUUCAAGUCAUGCAGAGCAAGCCAGUAAGCAGCUCCCUUUAAGGACCCUGCAUCAGUUCCUGCCUUCAGGUUCCUGUCCUGUUUGAGUUCCUGUCCUGAUUUCCUUUAAUGAUGAACAACACUAUGGAAAUGUAAGCCAAACGAACAAUUUCCUUCCCAGCUUGCUUGUUGGCCAUGGUGUUUCUUUGUAAUCCUAAGGAAGACACAUGACAAGAUUUCUUUUAAUUACUUUGGAUCGAUUAGUAAAUAUGCAAUAGGUUUUUCCUAGAACCAUAUAUAGUCUCUCUUAUUUAUGGGAAG